CCCGUGUUGGGACUUGAACCUUUGAACCCCCUCCCCCCCACGUAGCCCAGGAGGGGGCCUGCGCGACGGUGUCGGAAACCGAGCGGAGCGUCCGUCCACGCUACCGGAAAGCAAACCCGCGAUCCGGACGAAUUGUCGUAAAACGUCUGGGUUUCGAGAGUUCGACUCUGAUGGUCUCCCGGAAAAAGCCGCCAGAGGGCAGCCCGAGCGCGUAACGGACCGGCCCGAGACCCUUCCUCGCCCCGCCGCCCCACGCCCGAGGACGGCAGCGGUGGCCCACUGCCUGCAGACGCUGCCUGGGCUCCGUGGCGCCCUCCGCUUUGUCUCCACACUGAUCUGGAUGACGUCUGAGAGGACAAAAUGCUUUACCAUUCUCCAGGGUUGAGGAGAGACGGGGGCAAGGGAGCUUCCUCUCUCCAGCUACUGGUCCUAGGAGUUUGUCCUAACUAUACAGGGUUCUUUGUUCUAAAGUUCUGCAGCCGGCAAGAUAAAGGACUUGAAGUUUAAGAGCUAAGGGAAGGGAAGUUAGCGAAGAGCCCCGGAAAGGAAGUUUCCAUGCCGUUGACUUUUGAAGGCGUCUCUCCAGGUGCUCUCGUGCCCACCGCGGGCCCCGCUCUGGACCUGCUGGUCUCAGGGGUGGGCACGGCCGCUGCGGCGGCUCCCGCGCUGGGCCAGGUCGUCCUCGGACUGGGCGCCGCCCUUCCUCCCCUGGGUCCGCCCCCCGGCCAGCCGCCUGCACCCCUCUCCCUUCGACGCAGCGGUUUCUGAGGAAAUGGAGAUCUGUGGUGGUUCUUUCCAGUCACCGGGUUGUGAGAUUCUUAGGGGGCAAGAUACUAGCACAUUAAGGUCAGAGUUCUUAAAGGGCGAAGAUAUUUUAUUCCACUGCCUUCGGGGCCCGCCAGAGGCGGCCCAGUUGGUACAGUAAUACUUAUUCACCAAGCUGGUCACCGGCGAGACUGAGGAUGUCCUAGACGGAGCAAGAAUGGGCAGAGGCUGAAGGUAGAGGUUUUCUUUUUAUAUAUACAAGACACAUUAAUCCAUUAAAUUCGAGGACACAGUACAAAAAAAAAAAAAAAAACACUUCAACUAAUUUCAUCUGACAAUGCUGUUCAUAUUCAUGACGCCAUUUUGUUGUUGUUUUGUUUUCCUAAUAAUAAAGGAGGAGACUUAGG